rnacentral:tRNA from 1 species
CGGGAAGUAGCUCAGCUUGGUAGAGCACUUGGUUUGGGACCAAGGGGUCGCAGGUUCGAAUCCUGUCUUCCCGAUUG